GGGGGCGUAGCUCAGUGGUAGAGCACCGGAUUUUUAAUCCGAUGGUCGAAGGUUCGAUCCCUUCCGCCCUCA
rnacentral:tRNA from 1 species